GACGAACGCUGGCGGCGUGCCUAACACAUGCAAGUCACGGGGGGUAGCAAUACCAACCGGCGAACGGGUGCGGAACACGUGAGCAAUCUGCCGAUUACUGGGGGAUAGCCGGGCCAACGCCCGGGUAAUACCGCAUACGCUCAUUGGGGGACAUCCCCCGAUGAGGAAACCUCCGGGGGUAAUCGAGGAGCUCGCGUCUUAUCAGCUAGUUGGCGGGGUAACGGCCCACCAAGGCUACGACGGGUAGCUGGCUGAGAGGAUGGCCAGCCACAUUGGGACUGCGACACGGCCCAGACUCCUACGGGAGGCAGCAGUGGGGAAUAUUGCGCAAUGGACGAAAGUCUGACGCAGCGACGCCGCGUGUGGGAUGAAGCUCUUCGGGUGUAACCACUGUUGCCGGACGAAUUUCUGGUUUGACCAGAUUGACGGUACCGGGUGGAGGAAGCACCGGCUAACUCUGU
rnacentral:rRNA from 1 species